ensembl:lncRNA
CUCAGGGGUCUUCAGGUCUGCCCCUUGCUGUAGAUACCUACAAAAUGACAUGGAAUCUCCACCAUUACCUGUCUAUCCAAGACAACUAUACGAGUGGCAAGUGGAUAUGAAUCCGAUAUAGCCUUCACGACCAUCGGGACAAAGUUGGGGCGAGGAGAAGAGGAGGCGGGCCCAGACCAAUAAAGACACCUAUAUAUUAGACGGAGAGGUAUCUGUGACAUUACAUAACACUGUCCCAGGCCUGGAGUGGUGGAACACAUCCGUGUAGUCAUGUGGCAGACUGAGAACAACUGGCCGGGUGAUGGUGUGCAGCCAACCGAGACGGGGAGAGCGGAAUGGAGAGAGAAAGAAGAAGAGGAAGACUGAAUAACAGCAAUGAUGGGAGUUUAUCUGUGUGUGUGUGUGUGAGUGUGUGUGUGUGUGUGUGUGUGUGUGUGUGUGUGUGUGUGUGUGUGUGUGUGUGUGUGUGUGUGUGUGUGUGUGUGUGUAUGUGUGUGUAUGUGUGUGUGUGUGUGUGUGCUUAAAUGUCACGAAUGCAGUUAUGGUUUGUCUAAAUUGGCUACUUGGGCUAUUUCUACUGAGAAAGCCUCAGACCAUUCCAUUUUUUCCAUGGCGUGGGGGUUGUCCGGUCUUCCUAAAAGCACUUUCUGCUUUUCAGUGUUUUUUCUUACCUCACAGCAGCUGAAAGUGUGUGUGUGUGUGUGUGUGUGUGUUAGGGUCGGGAUGAUACCAGUAUCCCGGUACUCGUUAUUAUUGUGGGAAGGAAACAAAGCACGAAGCGGUUUGAACUUCUUUAGGAAAACAGCCCUGACGCUGGAAACAAACAUCACAUGUAUUUACUUUCCAAGCUAUAGCACACAACAUUUUACAUACAGCUUCGUGCUUUCAUGGAAAACAUAUUGCCGUCAUGGAAUCAUCACAGCCCUAGUGUGCGUAUGUGUGCGUGUUGCUGUGUUGUUUAGAAAUUCUGUUCCACAUCUAGGGAUAGGAUGAGUCGGCCAUGCAGGGAACUUGAAGAGCAACACACACACACACACACACACACACACCUCUCGUUGCUAAUCUGCAUGCUUUACGACAGAAGAAACAACAGAUUCACCUAAUAAGGACAUGUAAAAAAAUAUAUACAUAUUAUUCUGUUUUCUUUGGCUUUCAAAGGCACUGGAGGGAUGCAGGAUGGUAAUAAGGAGGUCGGAGGAAGGCAAAGGAAGGGAGGGUGUGUGCACAUGCACAACUCUCAACUCUGUGCUUAAUGCACCAUAAUGCUUUAAAUGAUGUUAGUAACAUGACUCUAGAGGAUUUACCUCUCUAUAGGAAUAGAACAAAUAGUGCUGUUUAUUGUUAUGCGGGCUGUGGCGUUCACGAAAUGUAAUCAGCCUGUCUCAUUGUUAUUGACUGUUAAUUAACAUAAACACAUUCCACACAUCUCCAGGCUUCCACACCUACAAGCCACCGAUGCUGACCUUUGGUCAUCUACUUUAAAAGUCGAAUAAAUCCAUCUAAUAUAGCAUACACCGUCACAAUAAAUCCAAUAUUCGUUUUAGACAGGUCUAGAGGCAUGACAUGAAGUAAAUGUAGUCCAUUUCAGAUGAACAGAAUAGCAUACUCUGAGUUCCUUAUGUUGGCUCCUAAUCUGGCUAUGCCAUAUGGCUGUGGGCUACGCUAGUUCAUUUAGCAGAAUUUUGUGGCAUUAUUUUAUAUUCCUUCAUAAAUUGAAGAAUGCAAUUGAACAAAGCUGAAUCAAAUAGAAAGGAUAUUUUCUCCAAAUGAUUUCAGAGGGAGUGUGCACAUGUGGCUAUCUUGUAUUGAGCGGGUAACAAAGAAACAGGUCCCCUCUAUGCUUAAUAUGCUUCAUUUAGUUAUUUAUGUAACUUUAGUUGUGAUAUUUUUAAUACAUUGUAAGUGUACAUGAUGCGACUCUAAUGAUGAUGUCACGCCCUGACCUUAGAGAUCCUUUUAUGUCUCUAUUUUGGUUUGGUCAGGGCGUGAGUUGGGGUAUGUAUGUCUCCCCAGCCUGCUGCCAGAGUCUCCCUCCUGUCCAGGGGUGCCAGAGUCUCCCUACUGUCCGGAGCUGCCAUAGUCUCCCUCCUGUCCGGAGGUGCCAGAGACUCCCUCCUGUCCGGAGGUGCCAGAGUCUCCCUCCUGUCCGGAGGUGCCAGAGUCUCCCUCUUGUCCGGAGCUGCCAGAGUCUCCCGCCUGUCUGGAGCUGCCAGAGUCUCCCGCCUGUCCGGAGCUGCCUGCCUGCCUGUCCGGAGCUGCCAGAGUCGCCUGCCUGUCCGGAGCUGCCAGAGUCGCCCGCCUGUCCGGAGCUGCCAGAGUUGCCCACCUGUCCGGAGCUGCCAGAGUUGCCCGCCUGUCUGGAGCUGCCAGAGUCGCCCACCUGUCCGGGGCCCGCUGCGAGGGUCCCCGCUCCAGAGGUGCCACCUAAGUGGGCCAAGCCUAAGGUGGAGUGGGGUCCACGUCCCGCACCAGAGCCGUCCCGGCGGAUAGAUGCCCACCCAGACCCUCUCCUAUAGGUUUAGGUUUUGCAGUCGGAGUCCACAC